CUGAGGCACGUGCUGGGGUGAGGGGCAGGUGCGCUGGAGACACUCCUUUCCACAGUGCUCAGGGUGCUGGGCGGGCCCGGAGAAGACGCUCUCGGCUCUGACCGAGCCUGUGACCAAUGCCACAGACCCCUCCACCUAUGACAGCAGCAGCUCUGCAAGAAGCAGGCCCCUGAGCCAAGCCUGCAGAAGGCUGCCUGCAUCCACCCUAAACCCACCAGGAUGACCACCUAAGAAAAUGAACAUAUUUAUUUCUACAUUCGGAAAUAAUUAGAAACAAUGUGACAGUUUAUUAAAUAAAGUUGAAGUAACAAGAACCUUCCUUUAACUUCCAAAGUCAAAGAUUUUGAAGAAAAAAAUGGUAGUUUUAAUUUAUUUCUUUAGGGGAAGAGUUGUUUUUUGUUUUGUUUUGUUCUGUUUGUACUAGAGAUUGAUCCCAGGAUCUUCAACUGAACUACUUCCCUCUCCCUUUUUAGGUUUUUAUGUUGAGACAGGGACUCGCUAAGUUGCCCAGGCAGGACUUGAACUUGCAAUCCUUCAGCUUCACCCUCCCAGAUGCUGGGAUUCUAAGUAUGCACCACUGUCCCAGCAUAGGAGAAGAGAUCUUUAUCUACUCUCCAAAAGGAUUGUUCCAAGCCCUCCUGGAUCUGCCUCUAAUUAUGCACAUAGGAAUCAUGCUUCACUAAUACAGAUAUGUACAGCCUGGUAAAGGACACUGGAGCCUGGACCUGUGCUCCCAUCCCAUGGUGUGUGUUGAUGAAUCUAGAGUUUUCCCUUUUGUGCUUCUGUCCUGCCCCAUGUGUAUUCAGUGGAAAGAAAACAUGGCCUUUGAUACCAGAGAGACCUAGAACCAAAUCCAAUGUGGAUCCCACCUUUGAGGACCUGGGUGCACUUGGACAAGAGUCUUUCUCUAAGACACAGUUUUCUUUAUCAUUUUCUGGGUUAUGGUAAAAAUUACAGGUAAUAAUUGUUAAGAAUUUGCAUGGAGACUACACAUGGAAAAUAGGCAUGACUAUGAGAUUUGGUAUUUAUGAGGCAUCAUUGAAACAUAUGGUGAAUAUUUAAAUUAAAAAUUUAUUAUGGUAAAGGACACAUUGCCAUUACAGUACUAAGCCCCCUCACAACAUUCUCCUUUGCUUCAAAUGCCCUUGUCCCGUCAUUCUUGACACUUUCUGAAGCAGUUUGGGAAGCCCUCUUUUGUGAAUGCAUUGUCAUGGCUGCCCCAACAUUCUGAACUGACUCUAAAUGAUCAUUUUGAGAUUAAGGCAGGGCCAGAAGUCUCAUGGUAUCAGAUCCAGAGAAUAGGUGGAUAAGGACACACUGCGAUGUUUUUACAAGCCUACCUUUGGAUGGGUGACCCUUGGCAGUAGCAUUCACCAAAUUUUUGAUCACACCUCAUAAAGACUCACAAAUGAGGAUUUUCAUUACUGCUUCAGAAAGUGACAAGGAUGAUGGGUUGGCUAAGUGUGUUCAGAAUGAGGGUGAAUGUUUUGAGGGAAAUUAAUGGCAAUUUGUCUUUUAUUGUAAUAAUUUUUUUAUUUAAAUCUUUAUCGUAUAUUUCACCUCCUAAGUGUCAGUUUAUGUACCACCUGUUUGAAAUCUUCUUGGAAGCUUUGUAGAUGGAAACAAGUUCUGCCUGCUUGAGUACCCAAAUGUGUUUUAUUUGUACUUACUUUUAUACUGGCAUCUUAGCUACUGUAUAUAAAGUACAGUAGGAAUAGAUUGUCUGCUCUAUAAAACUUGAAAUUUCUAUAGAAAAGAUUCUAACUUCUAUAUUUACAUGCACACCAUGCUUCUAUCUUGGAGUUUACACAUAAUGCUAUAAUAAUAAAUAUUUGAUAAGUAUUUUCUUAAUAAAGCAAAAUAACUUUUUGGCAAAA
rnacentral:lncRNA from 1 species